AGAAAGACAGGGAUCACAAAGUUUGAUUUCAAAAAAAAUGUCCUUCAUUAAUGAUAAUCAUUAAAACAUGAUGAGGCCCUACAAAAUGAAUCACUACGCCUUGGGCAGAACGUAGGAUUUUCAUGCAAAAUGACAAAACAACAGAAAAUUACUCUGUCAGAAGAGUAACUUGAACCACUUCUUCAGCCGUCCAGUUGUUG
rnacentral:lncRNA from 1 species